rnacentral:lncRNA from 1 species
GGCAUCUCCUCCAUGGGACCUAAAUCAAACCCAAGGGACCUAAGCCAAACCGGCUCUUCAAUUCAAGCCACAUCUCAUUCAUGGUUUCGGAUUCCCCUGUUUCAAGAAUAUUCAGCUGCAUUCAUUUCUUCCCAUCAUUCAUCUAUACUCAAAACAUCAACGGCAGCAAAGGGAAGAAGCCAAACCGUUUGCAUUCCACUUCAGCAAUCCCCCAUCCGCUCGAGCACGCAUCCGUGAACGUCCAUGGCAGCAUGAAACCAAGACGUUUCCCCUGUUUCCUCCCAGCUCAUCCACGCGUUCCAGCAGACAAAUCCU